rnacentral:lncRNA from 1 species
CCUAUUACUGGAAGUGCAAAAGGCAAAGGAUGAAAUGUCACUGCACAACAAUAAAGUUCUUUCCCCUACAAAAAUGCAGCAUAUUCAUAUGCAAGGGCCACUGCAUGAUUCAAGAGAGCAAAACCAUUGUGCUUUAUUUUCAUGCAAACCCGAAUUUAUCCAACAGUUGCAACUAUUGGGACAACCUGAGCAUCUGCUUCAAAGAUUGACUCAAAAACAAAAGCUGAUCACUUCCAACAAUCUUGGCAACUGCAGCCCAUAAUGUGACAAUUUAUCCCAGCAGUGGAUUUAAGUGGAAGAUUGUGAUACACAUUUAAAUAUGAAUGCCACCAUAAUCU